GCUGGGUGUGGUGGUGCGCACCUGUAAUCCCAGCUACUCGGGAGGCAGAGGCAGGAGAAUCACUUGAACCCAGGAGGCAGAGGUUGCAGUGAGCUGAGAUUGUGCCACUGCACUCUAGCCUGGGCGACAGAGCGAGACUCCGUCUCAA
rnacentral:SRP_RNA from 1 species